GUUACUGUAAUGGGGACUUUACUUGUCAAGUUAUUAAAGUUUAUUGAAAAAUGUUUGAUUUUUCCCCACUCUCUUUGUGUGAAAUUUGUUUCCAUUUUAAAAUCGAUUUUUUUCCUAACAGAAUUACUGUGAAUUUGUCUGCAUCUAUUUUAUAUAUGGUUUGAUUGAAUGCAGGAAAAGGAGAAAUAUUCGAUUUGGUAGUCUAGCGCUUGCUAAUUUAAGAGCGAGAGAGAGAGAGAGAGAGGAAAAAAAAGUGUUUUCGUUUUUUAAGCACUUGGAGAAGAGUUUCCGCUUCCGAUAAAUGAAAAUUAAAACGAUCUGUUAGUUCGGCGAUGGCAUCGACUAUACAAACAUUUAUAUCGUCUCUCUCUUUCCUGACGAAACUGUAUCGAGGAACGAGUUCUGCGAUGGAGAUAUUGCAAUACUCUAGUUGCCUAAUGGCGAGUUGUUUACUGCCAGUACCUUUAUGUAUUUACGAAUGUUGCGUUAGAACGCGGAUCUAUCCUUUCAUAAUUCACCUUCGCUUAAUUCAAUUUAGUUUAUACUAAAACGGAGUCGCUUUCAUCCUCAGUUGUGUAUACGUAAUUAGAACGGGCAGUUUCGACGUCUCCACCGUUGCCCGAAAGUGUUGGUUGAAAAUUAACUGGCUUCUCGAACUUCCAUUAGUCUUUAGUACAAUUUUCUCCAUUAAUUUUCUAGUUAAGUGUCAAUUUAGAAGUUCCCAUCAUUUUUUCUUUAAAUUAUUAAAAAGAUAAAAGAAAAAACUUUUUAAAAAUUACAUCACGUUUCUUUUUUAGUUAAUGUGCAAGAGAU
rnacentral:lncRNA from 1 species